CGGGGGGCUGCAGCAGUGAGGAAUAUUGCACAAUGGGGGGAACCCUGAUGCAGCAACGCCGCGUGGAGGAUGACGCAUUUCGGUGUGUAAACUCCUUUUAUAUGUCAAGAAAAUGACGGUAGCAUAUGAAUAAGCACCGGCUAACUCCGUGCCAGCAGCCGCGGUAAUACGGAGGGUGCAAGCGUUACUCGGAAUCACUGGGCGUAAGGGACGCGUAGGCGGGUUGGAAAGUCAGGUGUGAAAUCCUACAGCUUAACUGUAGAACUGCACUUGAAACUUCUAAUCUAGAGUAUGGGAGGGGGAGAUGGAAUUAGUGGUGUAGGGGUAAAAUCCGUAGAUAUCACUAGGAAUACCUAAAGCGAAGGCGAUCUCCUGGAACAUUACUGACGCUAAGGCGUGAAAGCGUGGGGAGCAAACAGGAUUAGAUACCCCCGUAGUC
rnacentral:rRNA from 1 species